CCCCCCGCCCCGCCACCCCCCGCUACGGACCGUCUGGGGCCUGGAGUUCGCUGGCCAAUUUGUGAAGAAGGACCACGAGACUUUGCCUCUCCACCGAAAGCUGAUCAUUUUUUGUUUUGGGUCACUUUUCUGAGUUGUACACCUUGGAAACUAACGGGGACGUUUUUUCUAGAGCAGAAAGUAACGUCCGCAUUUCUAGCGCCUACAGGCGGUCAUUUCACAGAAACCAGGAUAUGCUAGGGUUGAGGGAUGGGUCGGUUGCGAGGAAGUGUUUAGUUUCGGGGUAGUAAAACUCAAAGGAAUGGUAACCCCAGUCACCCUGUACAAGAGGAAAGUUUACUUUUUUUUUUUUUAAGUACUCGGUCCAUUCACCCCGCUUUUCCAUCUGCCCCGACGCAAAAGAAUGAAGUCGCAUUUUUUCGAGUCCCCACAGGCAAAUCAGUUUGUAGAGAUUGUACCACAAUGAAAGCGGUCAACCCAGGAAAACCUCCACUUAAGGGACACGAGUAAAUCGGGCAGUUGUGUGUUUGUUUUCUCUGUCGCUCUGCCACUGGACCCGUCCAAAGUCCCAGCGCAGCCCUGUGACGUUAGCACGAAGACAGCCAGGCCCGGCUCCCACAGCUUAGCCGGUGUCCUUCUCCGGAUUUCAGGAGCGAUGAAGCACAGGGGCGGGUCCCCGAGUAAGCAUGCGCGGCGGCGUGGCGGAACGGCGCGCUGGGCGCGCCAGCGCGAUUGGACGGCUGAGACUUACGACAGCCAAUCGGGGAGGAGCAGGUGGAAGAGGCCGCGGGCAGGGGAGACGCUCCCUAAAAGUUUGCUCCGCCCUCUCUGGUUUUCCACCUCUGUGAGUACUCGAGAUAAAGACGCUUCUGUGUGGUUCCAGCCCCAACUGUCAAGUCUCGGGGAGAAACCGAGAACUUAAGCCGUAUCAUCGCGGCUGCCUCAUUUGAAACCAUCAUCACAAAGACAGACUGCGGAACUGUAGCAUACGGUGUUUAGGCCAUACACUUGGCUACAAGUAUAUUUCAGUUUAUUGGCACCAGUCAUCAUAUACAGGAGUCAGGAAAAGAUUUACCAUUCUGAAGGUAAAUAGAUGGCUCAAAUUGCUAAUAUUUUUUAUUGGUUGUUAAAUAGAAUCCACUCUUACCGAUUAUUUACAUUUUGCAAUUAGUUUAACUUGUUAACUAUGAAAAUGAUAUGCUGUCCUAGUAUCAGAAUUACUCACUUCUUAACUGUGAGUCCUUUAUACAUUUGUUUUCAUGGUACAGUGAAUUUACCAUUGCAAAGCACUUACAAUAACUUUAAUAAUAUGCUCCACGGAACACUGUAUUCCCUUACUUUAAGACAUAUUUUAAAGAAUGAGUUGAGGAUAACCACUAGAAAAAUUUGGGACAAUAUUAGCAUCAAAAACAAUGACAAUAAUUUAUUGAAUUAAAAAAAUAAGUAAAGUGCAUGCUUUUAGAGUGGCACUAAAAAUAACAAACAGCAACUGCCUGGCUCGGUUUCAUAUGAAUAUUACAGCAAAAGUCUAUAAUGAUUGGGGGGGGGGGAUUCCACUUUUCUUUAAAAACAUCAUCCUGGGGGUAUCUGGGUGGCUCAGUCGAUUAAGUGUCCAACUCUUGAUUUUGGCUCUGGUCAUGAUCUCACGGUUCAUGAAGUUUAAACCCCAUAUAACAGGCUCUGCACUGACAGUGGGGAGCCUGCUUGGGAUUCCCCCUCUCCCCUCUCUGCUCCUCCUCUGUGCUCUCUCUCACUCUUUAUCUCUCUAAAUAAAUAAAUAAAUUUUUUUUUUGAAAAGGGGGUACCUGGGUGGCUCAGUUGGUUAAACAUCCCACUCUUGAUUUCAGCAAGGGUCAUGAUCUCACUGCUCGUGAGUUCAAGCCCCUAGUAGGGCUCUGUGCUGACAUCACAGAGCCUGCUUGGGAUUGUCUCUCUCCCUCUCUCUCUGCCCCUCCUCUGCUCUCUCUCUCUCUCUCUCUCUCUCUCAAAAAUAAAUAAACUUUAAGGGGAAAAAAGUACAAUUGAGAUGCUUCACACCCACUAGGAUGGCUAUACUUGAAAAGAUGGAUGAUAACAAGUGUUGAUGAGGAUGUGAAGAAAUUGGAAUCUUCAUACAUGGUUGGUAGGAAUGUGAAAUUGUGCAACUAUUUUGGAAACUGUCAGUUUUUAAAAAAGUUAAACAUAGAGUUUCCAUAUGAGUCUGCAUUUCUACUCCUAGGUAUAUAUAUAUAUCCAAGAGAAAUAAAAACUAAUGUCCAUACAAAAACUUGUA